CUAAGAUUGUUUGUCAUUUUGCUUUGUAUUUAUCUCUUUUCCCUAUGUUUGCAUAAAGUAGAUGCAGACUACAAUUUGGCGGUGAAUUCUAUGAAUACUAAUCUUAGGCUACCCUUGACCCCGAGGUCAGCUAAAGAUCAAAAACAAACCAUUUAAUAUUUUCCUUUUGCAGAUCAAUAGAAGCAUAAAUUCACUCUCAAUGACAACCAUAAUUUCAAACAGAUCUAUAAGAGGCAUGCAUGCAUUUCCAGGAGGAGCCACUCGCGCCUGUUGGGGAGCACAAGAAAAAGAGUUUCUGUGUUGUUGUGCGGUUGGUUUGUUGGUUUUGUGUGUGUGUGUGUGUUGUUUUUUUACCAUUGAAUCUCUUUUGCCCUUUUUUUUUUUUAUUGCUCUGAAAUGCUAUUUUCAGCAGCUGCUGUCAUAUAAAUAUCUCUUGUUUUUCUUCUCCUCUUUCCCUCCUGGUGAAAAGGGCAGGGGACCUAUUGAAAAUUCUGCUUUAUCUCUUUCAGGAGAGUUCAAGUGCGGGUCGAACAAUCGAUUCCUCCUCCUUUUCUUUUUUAAGUUUCCUGUCGUUCUUUUGCCCAGAUCAGCACUGAAGGAAAAUAGGAAGGGCAGCCUGGAGUGUGCACGUCUGUACAGCCAGAGACAGAACGCACGGCUGCGUCUGUGUGAGCACACGCAGGAUUUCAUACUUACACAAACACGUACACACACACACACACACACACACACGUAUGUUUGGUCCUGCCUGUCUGUGUGCACCAAACACUGCGGCGUUCUUACAGGACACGUAUUUCAGAGACGGGAAUAAAGCUGGGAAGUGGGAAAAGUUUGGAAGCACUGCUCGGUUCCAAGCCGGACUAUUAACCCUUCCCAACAUUCUCCCCCAGGAACUGCAAAAGCUUUGAAGGAAAUGCUGUAAGAUCCCAGACAGUUCCUACAAUUUUCCACGUGGGGAGAAAGGAGGGUUAUUCUGCGAGCAGCAUUGUUCCAGCACCAUAAAUUCAGCUGAUUAUCCACAAUCCUUACGGCUGCGUUUAGUCUCAUAAAGGGAGGAGAAAUAAUUCUUCAAUGUGGGACACAUCUGGUAGCCAAAGAUGCAAAAGGCUGAGGGUGGAAAUGCAAAAUUAUAUUGGAAAAAACCCCCAACAAUAACGUAACCCCCCAAAACAAAACAGAAG
ensembl:lncRNA